rnacentral:rRNA from 1 species
GAUGAACGCUGGCGGCGUGCUUAACACAUGCAAGUCGAACGGUGAAGGCGGAGCUUGCUCUGCUGGAUCAGUGGCGAACGGGUGAGUAACACGUGAGCAAUCUGCCCCUGACUCUGGGAUAAGCGCUGGAAACGGCGUCUAAUACUGGAUACGAGCUGCUAAGGCAUCUUCAGCAGCUGUAAAGAACUUCCGUCAGGGAUGGGCUGGCGGCCUAUCAGCUUGUUGGUGAGGUAACGGCUCACCAAGGCUUCGACGGGUAGCCGGCCUGGGAGGGUGACCGGCCACACUGGGACUGAGACACGGACCAGACUCCUACGGGAGGCAGCAGUGGGGAAUAUUGCACAAUGGGCGCAAGCCUGAUGCAGCAACGCCGCGUGAGGGAAGACGGCCUUCGGGUUGUAAACCUCUUUUAGCAGGGAAGAAGCGAAAGUGACGGUACCUGCAGAAAAAGCGCCGGCUAACUACGUG